CAAUGCAACACGUGCAGAUAUACUUCCUGACCGCUAGAUGUCCCUGUGAGACUGCGCUCUGAUCUCUACUGUUUAGUCAACGAACGUUUCCUGUCACUGGCUGCCGGUCUCUUCAUCACAUCAGUGCUCAUGAUUUCAAAGUCCAUCGAAUGCAGUCCAUAAUAAUGAAGAGCUCCAAGGAAGCCGUGCAGUCAGCUGCUAAAGAGUUUUUAAACUUUGUCAACAGAGGGGUGUCUCCAUUUCACGUGGUGGAAGAAUGUCGACGCCGUCUACUGGAAGCGGGAUUUGUUGAGCUGAAGGAGAUGGAGAAGUGGGACAUCAAGCCAUCCAGCAAGUACUUUGUGACCAGGAACUUCUCCAGUGUCAUUGCCUUUGUUGUUGGGGGCCGCUACUUGCCUGGAAACGGCUUCUCCAUGGUUGGAGCCCACACAGACAGCCCCUGUCUCAGGGUGAAGCCAAGGUCUAAGAGGAUGAAGCAGGGCUGCCUGCAGGUCGGCGUGGAGUGCUACGGUGGUGGCAUUUGGAACACAUGGUUUGAUCGCGACCUGACCAUUGCGGGGCGUGUCAUGGUUAAGCAAGAUGAGAGGAUUGUACAGCGGCUGGUGCAUGUGCCACGACCUCUGCUGAGAAUUCCUCACCUGGCCAUCCACUUACAGAGGGAUGUCAACGACUCCUUUGGUCCCAACAAGGAGAAUCACCUUGUGCCCAUUCUGGCCACGGCCAUCCAGGAAGAGCUGGAGACAGGCAGUACAUCGUCAGGAGAUGCCGUCAACGCUGCCAACACGGCCGAGAAACACCACACGGCACUGGUGAAGAUUUUGUGUUCAGAGCUGGGAGUUGAACCAGAAGCCCUGCUGGACUUCGAGCUCUGUCUGGCUGACACUCUGCCGGCGGUGCUGGGUGGCGUUUACGAAGAGUUCAUUUUCUCUCCUCGCCUGGACAACCUCCACAGCUGCUACUGCGCCAUACAGGGGCUGAUUGAGUCUUGCUUGGGGGACUCGCUGAACAAAGAUCCCAACAUCCGCAUGGUGACGCUGUAUGACAACGAAGAGGUGGGUUCAGAAAGUGCUCAGGGGGCGCAGUCAAACCUAACGGAGCUCAUCCUCAGUCGCCUGGCUGCCUCUUCCUCAAACCCCACCGCCUUCCAGCAGGCGGCGCCACUCUCCUUCAUGAUCAGUGCUGACAUGGCGCACGCUGUGCACCCCAACUACCAGGAGAAACAUGAGGAGAACCAUCGACCAUUCUUCCACAAGGGUCCAGUGAUCAAAUUCAACAGCAACCAGCGCUACGCCACCACGGCUGUGACCGCUGCUGUUGUCCGAGAGGUCGCCAGCCGAGUCGGUGUUCCUCUUCAGGAUGUGAUGGUACGUAACGACAGCCCAUGCGGAACCACCAUCGGACCCAUUCUGGCUGCUCGUCUUGGUGUGCCCGUGGUGGACAUUGGCGCUCCCCAACUCUCCAUGCACUCCAUCCGGGAGAUGUGCUGCACCUCCAGCGUAUUGCAAAGCACCACGCUCUUUAAGGCUUUCUUUGAGUUGUUUCCUCAUUUGAGGAGCUCGCUGGUGAUGGAUUAGAAUGAUGGAAGUGACGGACAUGAGGCGGAGUGGCUGCAGCACACCCUGGAUGUAAAACUUGUCAAUGCAAAGGUGCCACCCCUUGCUGUACACUACGCAGGGGCGCCACAAAGAGAAGAAAAGUGAUGAUUGACUGACAGGAGCCCAAGAACAUAGGACAUCGCCCCCAUAUUUCUACAAUGCUGCUAAAUGCCAACCAUCAGCUACUAGCAGCCGCUUGUGUCUGUUUUGUGGAAACAAGUUCCUUCUUCAACGCCUUUUCUUCAUUAAUCUGCCUUUUCAACCCUUCCUGGCCUCAUCAUUCUGUCCAGCAUCACUGAUUCUAAUCUCGGCAACAGGCUAAAGUGGCUGUUUGCUGGAGGGAGGCGGACAGAUACAAAUAUCGAUAUUGCCGAUACCGGGUU